rnacentral:rRNA from 1 species
GACGAACGCUGGCGGCGUGCUUAACACAUGCAAGUCGAGCGGUAAGGCCCUUUCGGGGGUACACGAGCGGCGAACGGGUGAGUAACACGUGGGUGACCUGCCCUUAGCUCUGGGAUAAGCCUGGGAAACUGGGUCUAAUACCGGAUAUGACUCCAUGACGCAUGUUGUGGGGUGGAAAGCCUUGUGCGGCUAGGGGAUGGGGCCCGCGGCCUAUCAGCUUGUUGGUGGGGUGAUGGCCACCAAGGCGACGACGGGUAGCCGGCCUGAGAGGGCGACCGGCCACACUGGGGACUGAGACACGGCCCAGACUCCUACGGGAGGCAGCAGUGGGGAAUCUUGCGCAAUGGGCGAAAGCCUGACGCAGCGACGCCGCGUGGGGAUGACGGCC